rnacentral:tRNA from 1 species
CACUAAGAAGCUAAACAGGAUAUAGCGUUGGCCUUUUAAGCUAAAGAUUGGUGACUCCGCCCACCCUUGGUGA